GACGAACGCUGGCGGCGUGCUUAACACAUGCAAGUCGAACGAAGAGCGAUGGAAGCUUGCUUCUAUCAAUCUUAGUGGCGCACGGGUGAGUAACGCGUAAUCAACCUUCCCUUCAGAGGGGGACAACAGUUGGAAACGACUGCUAAUACCGCAUACGAUCCGACCUCGGCAUCGAGGAGGGAUUAAAGGUUGCCUCUAUUUAUAAGCUCUCACUGAAGGAGGGGAGUGCGUCUGAUUAGGUAGUUGGAGGGGCAACGGCCCACCAAGGCAAGGGUCCGUAGGCGGUGUGAGAGGAUGAUCAGCCACAGUGGAACGUAGACACGGGCCAGACUCCUACGGGAGGCAGCAGUGGGGAAUAUUGGAGAAUGGGGGCAAGCCUUAUCCAACCAUACCGCGGGGGUGAAGAAGGCCUUCGGGUUGUAAAGCCUUUUUGUUGGGAAAGAAAAGCAGCAGGUUAAAACCCCGCUGUUCUGACGGUACCCAAAGAAUAAGCACCGGCUAACUUCGUG
rnacentral:rRNA from 1 species